rnacentral:lncRNA from 1 species
AAACCCAACCAACCAACCAAACAAAAAACAACACAUAAAAACCCCAACAAAACCCUAAUAAAAGACAAGCUUAGGAAGCUGUAGUCUUGUUGAACUCCUACAUGGAGACAGGAAAUCUUUUAGAAUAUAUAGUUACAUAGCAUACAAAGAAUUUCCCAGGACUAAUAUCUGGAGAAAACGUAACUCUCUGCAAUAAAGAUUCAGGAAAAUGUUUUAACUAACCAAGUGUAUCAAGGGAGUGAAUAAUAGUAAUAUACUAAUAAUAUUUCUAUUACUUAAAUCCUUACUUGAUUCUUGUCUAAAGUUUCAAGAAGCUCUUCAUCUGACUUUAAUAAAAGAGUGAUACUGUGAUGCACUUUGUAAGAAAAUUCCAUGGCAGCCCAUGUUUGGCUGAUUUCUGCCAAAAUCUGGGGACAAGAGUAGUAGUAAUAACAUCUGUCUAUAUAUAUAUAUAUCACAUUUCAUGUUUUGAGUUGAGAACUUAAAUUAUUUAAUUCAGAGUGAUGGUAAACUAUACUACAAACAAGAACUUAGUUUCACUAGGCUGUGAAUUUUGCUCCCUAGGUAAGUCACAUGAAAAUACUCACUUCUAUCGUUAGUUUCUUGAAACAAAACUCAACCAAGCAAACAGUUUGUUACACACCAUUCUGCAAAAACAGAAGGAAAAAAGGGGCAACUCUCACUUUUUAGUACCCAAAACUUUAACAGUGUUAUCAGCUACACUUUGGCUUUAAUUUCUGCUUUAUGAAGCUGGAGUCCCAGAAGGCUUGUCAGAGUAGUAUCUUCUGCUACUAUAAGCCUGAUAAAGGAAAGAGACAGUAGAGAGCAAAAUAAGUAAAUUAAGAAGAAAAAUCAGACAUAAGAAUAUAUGUCAAAUGAAAUGAAGUAAAUGAAAUUCAAGUUCAAAUGAAAUCCAAGUAAAAAAAACAAUGAAAGAAGUUCUAUGCACUCCAGAUACUGGAUAGACAUACUAGAUUUGCACCAAAACUGUGACUUUAUUCAGCCUAGAUGAAGUAUUUCUUGAUGAUGUUAGUGUAUUUUUUUUGUUAUGCCUUGUCUUGUACUGUGACAUAUUAUGUAUCCUAACACUAAAAGGCAAGUUUAUUUGCACAGCUGCCACUGAAUCUGAUGUAAGCUACAG